rnacentral:rRNA from 1 species
UAAGUGAAGAGUUUGAUCCUGGCUCAGAGUGAACGCUGGCGGCAGGCCUAACACAUGCAAGUCGAACGGCAGCACAGGGGAGCUUGCUCCCUGGGUGGCGAGUGGCGGACGGGUGAGGAA